UGCGCUUCUAUAGCUUUUUGUACCAACGAUGCACCGAAUUGCGGUGGAUUAGCCGACAAUAACCCGGCUGCCGUGACGGUGAAGAUGGCAUGAAUCAGGUUUCCGAAGUAACUUUCCGGCAUGGGUGGAUCAACCCUUUUACGACAAUCAGCGAAGAGAGUGAAAACUGUGUAAUCUUGAGGUUUGAGUUCACGUGCUAGGGUUACGUGGUGCCAAACGUGAUAAGCUAGAGAUUGGAAAGUUGAGAAUGGUUUAGAGGAGUCGGAUGGUGGGGUAGAGUUGACUUUUGACUUGAUCUUGU
rnacentral:lncRNA from 1 species